UGGGGUAUAUUGGACAAUGGGCGAAAGCCUGAUCCAGCCAUGCCGCGUGUGUGAAGAAGGCCUUUUGGUUGUAAAGCACUUUAAGCGAGGAGGAGGCUACUAGUACUAAUACUACUGGAUAGUGGACGUUACUCGCAGAAUAAGCACCGGCUAACUCUGUGCCAGCAGCCGCGGUAAUACAGAGGGUGCGAGCGUUAAUCGGAUUUACUGGGCGUAAAGCGUGCGUAGGCGGCUGAUUAAGUCGGAUGUGAAAUCCCUGAGCUUAACUUAGGAAUUGCAUUCGAUACUGGUUAGCUAGAGUGUGGGAGAGGAUGGUAGAAUUCCAGGUGUAGCGGUGAAAUGCGUAGAGAUCUGGAGGAAUACCGAUGGCGAAGGCAGCCAUCUGGCCUAACACUGACGCUGAGGUACGAAAGCAUGGGGAGCAAACAGG
rnacentral:rRNA from 1 species